AUGCAUAGGGGCUGGUUGCUUCUGCUCCUGGGGAAAUUGAUUUGGAUGCCACACUUGCUGAGGUGGCUGGGGCAUGGCGGUCGGUUCAAUUUGCUGCCGAGUUUCAGUAGCUGGUUGCUUUUGCUGCUGUGGCAUUUGAGCUGGAUGCCACACUUGCGGGGGCAGGGUGGCCUGUUCCUUCUGCAGUUGAGGCAUUGGGGCUGGUUGCUUCUGCAGCAUGGUGGCCAGUUUCUGCUGCUGGGACAUUUGAGCUGGAUACCAUGCUUGCUGGAGUAUAGCUGUUGGUUGUUUCUGCAGGAUAGGCAUUGGGGCCAGUUGCGUCUGCAGCAUUUGAGCUGGAUGCCACUCUUGCUGGGGUAUGGUGGCCGGUUGCUUUUGCUCCUGGGGCAAUUGAGCUGGAUGCCACACUUGCUGGUGAAUGGUGGCCAGUUGCUUCUGCUGCAUUUGAGCUGGAUACCAUGUUUUCUGUGGCAUAGCUGUUGGUUGUUUCUGCGGUAUAUCCAUUGGAGCCGGUUGCUUCUGGGGCAUGGUGGUCAGUUCCGUCUGCUGCUGAGGCCCAGUAGCUGGUUGCUUUUGCUGCUGGGGAAUUUGAACUGGAUACCACACUUGCUGAGGUAACUGGGGUAUGGCCUGUUCCUUCUGAUGCUGACGUUCAGUAGCUGGUUGCUUCUGGGGCAUUUGAGCUGGAUACAACACUGCUUGAGGCUGCUUAGGAUAACUGGCCGGUAGAGUCUCCUGUUGGGUCAUGGCGGCCAGUUGCUUUUCCUGCUGGGGCAUUUGAGUUGGAUACCACAUUUCCUGAGGUGCCUGGGGCAUGGGGGCCAGUUGCUUUUGCAGGAUGGAGGCCAGAUGUUUCUGUUGCUCUUCGGUCAGCUGCGCUCGCAAUUGAGCUGUUGGAGAGAUGUCAUUUCCAUAUCCUUUAGACCUAGGUGAGCCUGCAUAGAGACAUACUGCAUCAGAACCUGGUGCAUGAUAGCCAUCACCUAGGUUAGAAACAAAGUAAAAUGCCAGCCUUGGAAGUAAUUGGAACUGCAACUGUUACUUGAAAUUAAUGUGUAGAAACUCACUUGAUGUAGAACAGGUUAUCCCGCCAAUUAGCAGGCAACAAAACCAAGAAACUCUAAAAAAAAUAUAAAAUAAAAACAUAUGUUAUAAACAUAGCUAGCUACCUGUAACACAUGAAGGACAAGGGAAACAAACUAGAGCAAUACUUUUAAAAACCUACCUGAAAGUGAUUCCAAUCAUCACGGCCAUUUUGCGCCUCAAAACCUCACCAGUAAUCAGAACUAAUGGCCAAUAUAAGCCCUAGUUUAAUAUCCCUUUUGCUGUAUCUGGCAAGCUUUUUGGUUGCUCCUUUUAAACAAAUCCCAGACCCUUCUAAUGUCAUUGGCUAAUUAAGGACAGCUGUAAGUCCCUGAACUACAUUUGAUUCCUAAUUCCAAAUUGACCGCUAAAUCCUACACCCUGGACUAAACACAUCUGUGAAUCAGAAAUGAUUGAAAAGGUAUAAGCAAUAUGGCCACAAUUGCAUCCAGCCUAUCAGAAGUCAAGGUGAAGCAAUUACCAUAUUGCUAUAACCUAUCGGAUCGUUUCAAAUGCCCAUAAGUGACUAAGUGGUAGGUGUAGGGGCUAGGGGUUGAUUUGGAAUUCAGAAAUUUACUCAGGUGUGGUUGAUUCUCUAAUUGAGUUCCUGACAGGUUUGACAGCCCUUACUCUAAAGCGCACGUCAAACUCAUUUCACGGAGGGCCGAGUGUCUGUGGGUUUUUGCUCCUUCCUUGUAGGAAAAAACCAAAACCAACAGACACUAGGCCCUCCAUGGAUUGAGUUUGACACCCCUGCUCUAAAGUAGGAAACACAUUUUUGUCUUGGCACUACAUUGAUCAGUUUAAGUUAUAGCUUGUUCUUUAAAACCGUGUGUUUCAUUCAGCAUAGCAACAUUAAAUGGAUUAGUUUCAUUUGCACAAAGUGCAACAUCUUAGACAAAUUCUGAUUUCAGACAGACACCAAUUAAACACUAAUGUUAUGCUUUUGAUGAGUUGCGAAUGCUAUGAACUUUGAACUCUUAUUCACAACAGAAGUGAUACCUCCUAGCCGUUGAGUUAGCGACCGCAGCUGCAAACGCAGGUUAGGAAAGAACAGACAGAGUAUCCCAUCUACCACACAACGACGUUACUACAACUUGUCCAAGUGACCACCAGAGACAUUCUUCAAAGGACAGAGGACUCGGUUUGGCAACGCGGUCUUCCAUCUACCACCAACCUACAGAAGCGCAGCUCAGAGUAAAUAUUUAUUGCAUUUUCCUUUUCCAAAUGAGCGGUAAUUUAGAAUGCAUAAGAUCCUGUAUUUACGAUAGCACAGCUUCGCCUUUGUUCCUGUCUCCCGCUCUUUCGCUCAAACCCAGCCCCUUUUCCUUUGUGUAACAAGCAGUCAUAUCUGUUCCGCCCACUAGGGACGUUUUCCUUUAUGACGGC
rnacentral:lncRNA from 13 species